UUUUUUUUUUUUUUGAAAUUUUCGGGAAAAAAAAAUGCUUUGCAAUACACUGAAAGAAAUGACUUUUGGGUGUACUAAAUUUUAUUGUGUAAAACUACAUAAUUUCUACUUUGUAAAAUUAGGUCUCAGUGUUUACUAACUUUUGUCAUUUAAAAUUGUGUACUAAUAUGUGAUUUAAUUAUUUAAAAUAAUGAAUUGUAUAGGAACUGUAACAAUUACUGUAAUUUUAGUAUUAAUCUGUUUUUUUUAAUUAUUGUAACCAUUAUGAAAACCCGAGUAAAAUUUACUCCAAAAAGAUCAGAGCUCAAGUUUGAAUUGGCACAUGCGCAGUGGGACCCUUACAACCCGGGAUUCAGUCUGGUAGUCGGUUAGGACGGACUCUUUAACCAAAAGCGAAUUCAGUCAAAGGAGCUGUUCCAGUACUCCAAUGUGCAAACAUGUAAAGGCUAAGAAAAGUCCUGAAACUGAAAUCCCUCAGAUUCAUUUGGAACUUUCACUCAGUGACCCAUAUUUCUCAAAAGACAAACGGCAGGCAGCAUAAACCCUUCAAGCACCAGCCGAAAAGGGGAGAGCAAAGUAAUCCUAACUGAGACCACUAAGAUACUACACACUUUCAGUCUGGUAAGC
rnacentral:lncRNA from 1 species